UACGGGGGGAGCAAGCGUUGUUCGGAUUUACUGGGCGUAAAGGGCGCGUAGGCGGCCACCGCAAGUCGAUUGUGAAAUCUCCGGGCUUAACCCGGAAAGGUCAACCGAGACUGCGGGGCUAGAGUGCAGAAGGGGCAACUGGAAUUCUCGGUGUAGCGGUGAAAUGCGUAGAUAUCGAGAGGAACACCUGCGGCGAAGGCGGGUUGCUGGGCUGACACUGACGCUGAAGUGCGAAAGCUAGGGGAGCGAACGGG
rnacentral:rRNA from 1 species